ACUCAAAUGAAUUGACGGGGGCCCGCACAAGCAGUGGAGCAUGUGGUUUAAUUCGAAGCAACGCGAAGAACCUUACCAGGACUUGACAUCCCGCUGACCGGUCUGGAGACAGACCUUCUCUUCGGAGCAGCGGUGACAGGUGGUGCAUGGUUGUCGUCAGCUCGUGUCGUGAGAUGUUGGGUUAAGUCCCGCAACGAGCGCAACCCCUAUGUUGUGUUGCUACCAUUUGGCUGAGCACUCACAACAGACUGCCGGUGACAAACCGGAGGAAGGCGGGGAUGACGUCAAAUCAUCAUGCCCCUUAUGUCCUGGGCUACACACGUGCUACAAUGGGCGGUACAAAGGGUUGCGAAGCCGCGAGGCGAAGCCAAUCCCAGAAAGCCGCUCGUAGUUCGGAUUGCAGGCUGCAACUCGCCUGCAUGAAGCCGGAAUUGCUAGUAAUCGCGGAUCAGCAUGCCGCGGUGAAUUCGUUCCCGGGCCUUGUACACACCGCCCGU
rnacentral:rRNA from 1 species